rnacentral:rRNA from 1 species
UACGUAGGGUGCAAGCGUUAAUCGGAAUUACUGGGCGUAAAGCGUGCGCAGGCGGUUUUGUAAGUCUGAUGUGAAAUCCCCGGGCUCAACCUGGGAACUGCAUUGGUGACUGGCAGGCUUUGAGUGUGGCAGAGGGAGGUAGAAUUCCACGUGUAGCAGUGAAAUGCGUAGAGAUGUGGAGGAAUACCGAUGGCGAAGGCAGCCCCCUGGGUCAAGAUUGACGCUCAUGCACGAAAGCGUGGGGAGCAAACAGG